rnacentral:tRNA from 7 species
UGCAUCGGUAGCUCAGUUGGAUAGAGUAGCUGGCUACGAACCAGUUGGCCGCGGGUUCGAAUCCUGCCCGGUGCACCAU